rnacentral:lncRNA from 1 species
ACGCAAUACCUAUUAGCUUUAGUUUUAAAAAUUUAUAUUGUUAGAAUAUAUGAAAUUACACCAAAAAACUAUCAUUACUUGAGUCACUACUUUCUCUCUCAUGGGUGGUAAUUGGUUACUUUAUUGUCUUAACUUUUGAUGCAGGUUCCUUAUUGGUUAACCUAUGAUUUCCCUCCGGAAGUAAGAGAAAAACUAAACAAACAAUGGGGAACGGAUUGGAAAGGUCAGGCACAAAAGUGGUGAGCAUGUUGGUCUGACCUCAUUGUUCAUAAGCACUUAUCAAAUAUUCAGUUGGAAGGAAACAUUAACAGCAACCACACUCAGCAAGCCUUGUAUAAUCUAUAUUAGUUUAAUAAGUUCAUUGCUAAUCGUCCUAUACUCGCAAUGGCAAUUUUUUAUCAUGAAUGUGUAAGAUCGUGGCUAACUGCUUAUAGGUUACUUUCCUGCAUGAGCAUUAUGGUUACACGCACCAUUUUCUUCUUCUUUUUCUUCUUGAUUUUUCCCCUCCCACCAGCCAACUUGAACUUGAAGUUACUUCUUUCAUUAUAUCAUAACACAAGCUCAGCAACUUUUGCUAAAAGCUUUGCUAUAUCAAAAUUUGCUUGAUUAGCUCACUUAGGUGGUUUAGAAUUUUUAUUUAGAAUUUUCUUGACCAUCCUUGUGUUUCAAAACUAGGUUAGAGGGAUUACCAUGUUAAAUACUAUUCCAAUCUUUCCAUCAAAUCAUGUUAAAUGCUAUUAAGUAGUCACGAUGGCCAAAUCAAAGAGGUAAUCCAAACAAAUCCAUUUGUAAAAUUCAUUCUUGUCAUGGAGAGUUGGGUGAUAGCAUGCAACUCCUGAGGAGAAUUUAUGAAGGGUUCUAUAAUACAUAAGAAGAAUUAGUUAGAGUACUUCUUGUUCAUGUAAAGAUCUAUUGAUCAUGCAAACUAUUUUAGCAGCAAUUUAGUUGAACUAUAACAGUCAUAUUGCUCUUGACGUCUGUUUGUGUAGUAUUUUCAAUCUAUAUCUGUUUAUUAGUGUUUUGCUUGCAAGAGUGAUAGCUAACUACAUCAAUGUCCUACAGGUAGGCGAUCAAGCAUGUCUCUAGUGAAGUUGAGCAUAGUCUAGACAAGUAUAGCCUUCUGUGUGAAAAAAGAAAUAUUUAAAGGCAGAUUUCUGAUCAAUUGGCAUACAUCUAAUAUGUACAGUUCAUUUGUAUUUCUUGAAGUCCGUAUUUAUGUCAAUUGAGAACAUAGACGAGAGUUUUCACAAAUCAAGUGAAACUUUUCAGGGAUGCGAAGAAAAGUCAUAUUAUCUAGUUGUGAAUUUGAUCAAGGUAUAAAAAGUAUAUUUUUUUGAAUCUACCCAAAAAUUUAAAAUUUUCAUCUAAAUCAGUAAAUACUCACAGUUGAUCUUGGCAAGUUUUUUUUCCUUCUUAUGAUUAUAGUUUGAGGUCCAAUAAACAUGACAUGGUGAUGCAGGACCGCUUAGGGUUGGCCUGCAUUGUGUAAGAACACCCUAGACAUAGGAUAGUUUAGGGUGUAAAGCAGUUCUAAUGCUUGUGGCCAAAGUCCUAAGAACAGGACAACAAAUGAUAGCACCGAAUUUAUCAGCAAGUGACGUUACAAAAAAUUCUGUCUAGGGUUUUUGAAUGAGGAGCUGGUAGGACAAGGAACAGAAGGAAUUAAGAGCUUAAUUGAAAGGUCUGCUGUAGAUUUUAAAGCAGAUUAUAAUAAAUAUUGAGUACAGGAAUUUGUAGAAUGCAAUAAAACAGCAAGAGAGGAAUCAAUAUAGAUCUUAGAAUAAACUGAUUGAUAUACUAAUCAAAUAUCAUAAUAUGGAGAUGCUCAAUUUGUUGAGAUAUAAAAUUAAGCAACAUCGAUGGUCAACAAUAAAUAGAAGAAAGAAUAAUAAAAUAGAAAUAGAAGAGGAAGAAGAGAGAGUAAUAAGAAAGAUGUGGGAGAAGAAUACGAGGGAGGGAAGAGAAGAGGAGACAACCGAAUUUUUAUUUCGAUUUACUGGAAAAGAGGAAGAGAUAAAUCUAUCUGGUGAUGGAUCUGAAAAGCCAGAAUUUGCAGAAUGGUCAUGGAUGACACCGCAACAAGUAAUUGAACUCGCGGUGGAUUUUAAGAAGCCCAUCUAUGAGGAUGUUCUGAAGUUUUUCAGCCCCCAUUUACAGCCAGAUUCAGCUGCACAAGUAUAGAUGAUUUCUCCUUGGCCAAAAGGGUUUAUCUAUUCCUUCAUAAAAUUUAGUGUACAAUAUAUAAAUAUAAACAUAUAUACAUACAUACAUACAUAUAUACAUACAUACAUAUAUAUAUAUAUACAUAUAGAUAGAUAGAUAGAUAGAUAGAUAGAUAGAUAGAUAGAUAGAGCCCUUAUGGAUUCUAUAGACUCUACCAUCUAGAAAUUUCCUAGUUGGAUUCAUCUAGUCUCCAAUAAUUGUAGAAAGAAAAAUCCUCUUGAAAUCUCUUUUACUAGGACUCCUAAGAGAUCAUGCUAAUUGUAAAACACAUCAAUUAGGUUCCUUCCUAAAACACGUCAAUUAAUAAAAUACUUAAUCCAACUCAAACAAUUCUUAAACCAAAUAAAGCAAAAACACUCUUCGACUGCUGACUUUUUUUGAUCACUCUAUGGACCCAAUUUGUCCUCCUUGCUUACAGGAAUUAAAUCACCUAAGUGUUUAAACCUCGGUACUAGGCCCCAUCCUGGUUUACUUCUGGGGUGAUAUGGUAUUGGUUCUGGACAUACUGUUAACAACAAUAAGAAGAAAAAAAACAAAGAUAUUUGCAUCCUGGUCCAUCCCAACAAUCCCGGUGUGUCCCGAGUGCCAGGAUGCAAGUGGUAUAAUUUGAGGUCCAAAUAUGUAUUGGUAUACGUAUAUGAGUCCAAUAAACAUGACAAGGUUUGUGUUCUUGCUUACAAUAAAUAAAUCACCUAAGGGUGUAAGUCUUGAUACUGGGCCCCAUCCUAGUUUGCUUUGAGGAUGAUAUGAUAUUGUUUCGGAACAUACUGAAACAACCAAGAGGAAAAGAAAAAUAGAGGAUAAUUGUGUUCUGGUCUGUAUUGACAUUCCUGGUGUGCCCUGAGUGUCAGGAUUCAACCAGGAUGGAGGUUGGACUCAAAUUAAAGGGGAAAAAGAAAAAAGUCAUCUUUGUCCAAAGCAUUAAAAGAAAAAAAGAAGCUCUUUUGAAAUUUUUUUACUUAAGAGUAGAGGCUGUAAAUUAAGUCACUACAACUAGUUUUUAUGACAAUCCUUGCUAGGGAAGCAGAGUGCAAAUUUAUCUGAAUACCAUUAGUUCCUCCCAUUGUACAUAUUUGAGUAGAAAUAAGGCCAUGCGUAAUACAAGGGAAUACUUACCAGUAAAUUGUACCAAAUUUCUAAGAUGGAUAUCUAUGUUAAACGGGAACUCUUUUACUGAAAAAUGUACAAGUGGCAUCUGAAUGUUUAAUUUGUUUCUAUUUCCUUCAGACUGCUUUGUCUGCUCUCUUGGGUUUGUUUUUAAGCAUACACAUUGACAGACCAAUGUCUUCAAGAAUAAAAAAUUUGAAGCUUCAAUCAUCCUGUUCAUAUCUCAUGAUAUCUAAGUUUGGUAUAUAUUGAAAGUAUAGGUACUACAGAUACUGAUAAUCAAACUGACUGUUCAAGACUCGGUGAUACUCCUCACUGUUGAUUUAGCUGAUUCCUGUAUUGAUAUGUAGGUUUUUAUUUCGAUUUACUGGAAAAGAGGAAGAGAUAAAUCUAUCUGGUGAUGGAUCUGAAAAGCCAGAAUUUGCAGAAUGGUCAUGGAUGACACCGCAACAAGUAAUUGAACUCGUGGGUAAACCUGACCCUUUUAUUGCUGUUCUCAUUUCCUGAGAAAAGGAAAAGAUAGAGGAGUUAUGAUCUGAUACAUCACACCUCCAAAAAUUUUGAGCAGGCGGUGGAUUUUAAGAAGCCCAUCUAUGAGAAUGUUCUGAAGUUUUUCAGCCCCCAUUUACAGCCAGAUUCAGCUGCACAAGUAUAGAUGAUUUCUCUUAUUCAACUGCCUGCCUUUAAGAAAACUGAGUGGACAUAGACCAGCACCUGCACAUCAAUUCAGCCAUAACCAAGAAUCCAAUGGUCUGUAUUGCUUAUCAUUUACUCUUUGAUGUCGCUUGA